GACGAACGCUGGCGGCGUGCCUAAUACAUGCAAGUAGAACGCACAGUUUAUACCGUAGCUUGCUACACCAUAGACUGUGAGUUGCGAACGGGUGAGUAACGCGUAGGUAACCUGCCUGGUAGCGGGGGAUAACUAUUGGCAACGAUAGCUAAUACCGCAUAAUAUUAAUUAUUGCAUGAUAAUUAAUUGAAGGGUGCAAUUGCACCACUACCAGAUGGACCUGCGUUGUAUUAGCUAGUAGGUGAGGUAACGGCUCACCUAGGCGACGAUACAUAGCCGACCUGAGAGGGUGAUCGGCCACACUGGGACGGAGACACGGCCCAGACUCCUACAGGAGGCAGCAGUAGGGAAUCUUCGGCAAUGGACGAAAGGCUGACCGAGCAACGCCGCGUGAGUGAAGAAGGGUCUCGGAUCGUAAAGCUCUGUUGUAAGUGAAGAACGUGUGUGAGAGUGGAAAGUUCACACUGUGACGGUAUCUGACCAGAAAGCGACGGCUAACUACGUG
rnacentral:rRNA from 1 species